rnacentral:rRNA from 1 species
AGUCGAGCGGAAGGCCCUUCGGGGUACUCGAGCGGCGAACGGGUGAGUAACACGUGGGUAACCUGCCUUCAGCUCUGGGAUAAGCCUGGGAAACUGGGUCUAAUACCGGAUACGACACGCGACCGCAUGGUGUGUGUGUGGAAAGUUUUUCGGCUGGAGAUGGACUCGCGGCCUAUCAGCUUGUUGGUGGGGUAGUGGCCUACCAAGGCGAUGACGGGUAGCCGGCCUGAGAGGGCGACCGGCCACACUGGGACUGAGACACGGCCCAGACUCCUACGGGAGGCAGCAGUGGGGAAUAUUGCGCAAUGGGCGAAAGCCUGACGCAGCAACGCCGCGUGAGGGAUGACGGCCUUCGGGUUGUAAACCUCUUUCAGCGCUGACGAAGCCUUCGGGUGACGGUAGGCGCAGAAGAAGCACCGGCUAACUACGUGCCAGCAGCCGCGGUAAUACGUAGGGUGCGAGCGUUGUCCGGAAUUAUUGGGCGUAAAGGGCUCGUAGGCGGUUUGUUGCGUCUGCUGUGAAAGCCCGGGGCUUAACCCCGGGUCUGCAGUGGAUACGGGCAGGCUAGAGUCCGGCAGGGGAGACUGGAAUUCCUGGUGUAGCGGUGGAAUGCGCAGAUAUCAGGAGGAACACCGGUGGCGAAGGCGGGUCUCUGGGCCGGUACUGACGCUGAGGAGCGAAAGCGUGGGGAGCGAACAGGAUUAGAUACCCUGGUAGUCCACGCCGUAAACGUUGGGCGCUAGGUGUGGGUUCCCUUCCACGGGAUCCGUGCCGUAGCUAACGCAUUAAGCGCCCCGCCUGGGGGAGUACGGCCGCAAGACUAAAACUCAAAUGAUUUGACGGGGA